rnacentral:rRNA from 1 species
GUUAGGAAUAUUGGACAAUGGGCGCAAGCCUGAUCCAGCCAUGCCGCGUGAACGAUGAAGGCCUUCGGGUUGUAAAGUUCUUUAGCCGAUGAUUAUAAUGACUGUAGUCGGAAAAUAAGCCCCGGCUAACUUCGUGCCAGCAGCCGCGGUAAUACGAAGGGGGCGAGCGUUAUUCAGAAUCACUGGGCGUAAAGCGUGCGUAGGCGGUCUCGUAAGUUAGGAGUGAAAGCCCAGGGCUCAACCUUGGAAUUGCUCUUAAUACUGCAAGGCUAGAAUCUCGGAGAGGAUAGCGGAAUUUCCAGUGUAGCAGUGAAAUGCGUAGAUAUUGGAAGGAACACCAGUGGCGUAAGCGGCUAUCUGGACGAGUAUUGACGCUGAGGCACGAAAGCGUGGGGAUCAAACAGGAUUAGAAACCCGGGUAGUCC